rnacentral:rRNA from 1 species
AGUGAACGAUGGCGGCGUGCUUAACACAUGCAAGUCGAACGAGAACGGGUUUUAGCUUGCUAUAAUUGUCAGCUAAGUAGCGCACGGGUGAGUAAUGUAUAGGUAAUAUGCCUCUUACUAAGGGAUAACAAAUGGAAACGUUUGCUAAUAAUUUCUACUCCUUAUUAACAGAAGUUAAACAGGGACAGAUAUAGUGUGAAGAGAGUAGCCUGUAUUGUAUCAGUUAGUUGGUGGGAUACUUGAUUACCAAGACUAUGACACAUAACUGGUUUGAGAGAAUGAACAGUCACACUGGAAAUGAGACACAGUCCAGACUGCUAAGGGAGGCAGCAGUGGGUGAUAUUGCACAAUGUACGAAAGUCUGAUGCAGCAACGCCGCGUGGAGGAUGACACAUUUCGGUGCGUAAACUCCUUGUAUAUGAGAAGAUAAUGACGGUAUUAUAUUAAUAAGCACCUGCUAACUCCGUGCCAGCCGCCGCCGUAACAC